GUGAUUGAUGACUGGGCGGGUUCCGCCCCCAUUUUUGGGGACAAUAAAGAGGUUGCUCACAAGACCCGAGGAAUGCGUCGGGAUUUCCUGAAUAGCACCUUUGAGUGCCAGCUCUCGAACUUCCUCGGAGACGAGGGUCGUGUCUAGUGGGGAAAAAACAAAGCCUAUUAGAUACCCGUGGACCGCCCUGAGUACCCAGGCAUCUGAUGUAAUGAGAGCCCAGACAUGGGAAAAAUGUGUGUCUGCCCCAAAUUGCCACAGGUGAAGAAAUUUGAGAAAGGUAGCUUACCGUGAGGACGUCGUCCAGAAAGAGCGCCUCGUGCACCUGCCUCGUUGGGGGAAGAAGGUCGGAGUGGACCUCUGCCGGCCCCAACAAAAACCUUUGG